CCUCUUCGAACCCUCCCCCACAACCGCCGCUUCGAUCCCUCCUCCUCUUCGAUCUCUCUCUACGCCUCUUCGAUCUCUCUCUACGCUUCAUCAUCUCGCGGCGAUUCCUCCGCCUUUUUCGUCAUUUCGUUUUUUUUUUCUCUCCGCCUUGGCCCCCGCCCCUCUCUCUCUCUCUUCCCCUCCGAUCCCGCCUCUCAUCUCUCCCCGAUCUCCCCGUCGAGAUCCGCGGCGCGAUCUGCGGCGCGAUCUUCGCCGGGAUUCGCAGCGGGGGGAGAGGAAGGUGGCGUCGUUGAGGGGCUGGUAGUCAAGGGAGAGUGAUAUCUUCUUCUUCGAUCCUUUCUCCAAUGGCGAUCUCAGGGACGAAGAUGAAGAGAACGAUGAUAAUGGUGAGAACGCAGGGGAGGAAGAGGACACGUACUUGAGCGACGGUGUAGAAGAGGAGGACGACGACUCCGACUUCGGGGAGAACAUCCUCAACGGCCUCGAAGACUCCGCCGUGGUCGAGGAUUGUUCCUGGUCCGUCUCCACGUGCCGUUUGAGAGGUAAAAUUGAUUCCAAUGGUGUUGUGGCUGCUUUCCUCGAGGAGAGAUUAAAUAUGGGUGUCAACUUUAUCCUUUCUACAGAGAUCGAUCAUCUAAAGAAAGACUACAAAUUUGCGUUUGGCAUGACCUUAGGAGAAUAAAUUUGCUUCUAGACAACAUAUAUCAGAAGAUAAGAUCGGGUUUGCGGCUACUGGUUUUUCUGGAGAGUGCCUGUUCCGAAGAUUCUUUUCGGCUCCUCAAAUCCUAGCAGACAAGUUUAAUUGAUAUUGGAUAGAAAAUUAGGACAUUUUUGUAAUCCAUGAUUCGAUUCCCAACCCGUUUGCGAGAUAAUAUGUCGAUGCAAGGACAUGAUUCUUUGUCCAUCUUUGAUGGAACAAUGUAAAAUCAUGAUUUGAUACCUGUGUUCUUUUCUACCAAUCAAGAAAUGUUUUGCGGUCUCUUGCUUUUGGU